rnacentral:rRNA from 1 species
UACGUAGGGUGCGAGCGUUAAUCGGCAUUACUGGGCGUAAAGCGUGCGCAGGCGGUUUUGUAAGCCAGAUGUGAAAUCCCCGGGCUUAACCUGGGAAUGGCAUUUGGGACUGCAAGGCUGGAGUGCGGCAGAGGAGACUGGAAUUCCUGGUGUAGCAGUGAAAUGCGUAGAUAUCAGGAGGAACACCGAUGGCGAAGGCAGGUCUCUGGGCUGACACUGACGCUCAUGCACGAAAGCGUGGGGAGCAAACAGG